CCUACGGGUGGCUGCAGUGGGGAAUAUUGGACAAUGGGGGCAACCCUGAUCCAGCCAUGCCGCGUGUGUGAAGAAGGCCCUCGGGUUGUAAAGCACUUUCAGUGAGGAAGAACGCCUGGUGGUUAAUACCCAUCAGGAAAGACAUCACUCACAGAAGAAGCAACGGCUAACUCCGUGCCAGCAGCCGCGGUAAUACGGAGGGUGCGAGCGUUAAUCGGAAUUACUGGGCGUAAAGCGCGCGUAGGUGGCUUGAUAAGCCGGUUGUGAAAGCCCCGGGCUCAACCUGGGAACGGCAUCCGGAACUGUCAAGCUAGAGUGCAGGAGAGGAAGGUAGAAUUCCCGGUGUAGCGGUGAAAUGCGUAGAGAUCGGGAGGAAUACCAGUGGCGAAGGCGGCCUUCUGGACUGACACUGACACUGAGGUGCGAAAGCGUGGGUAGCAAACAGGAUUAGAUACCCUAGUAGUC
rnacentral:rRNA from 1 species